rnacentral:lncRNA from 1 species
GAUAAUAACAUAGUCAAGAAAAACAAAUAACAUGAUAUCAUAAUUUAUUUCAAUCAUAUAGUUUUCAACUUAACUCAACCGAUUAUUACAUAUAAUUUAAUUCACCGUUUAUUAUAUGUAAUUUCUAAUUCAACCGAUUAACUACUUUGGGGUUCCUUAGGGAGGGUCUACCCAACAACUUAACCCCGUUCACUACUCGUGUGCUCAGCCAGUUUAGUGCUCUAAGUGGCUCAUGACUUCCACCCGAAUACACCAACCCCAAGACUUCCACUUUCGCUACUCCGACUUGCAAAGUACAAGUACUUUACGGUGUCGUUUAGGAUCGGUACAAACGGUGCCAAUUCCAACGAUACACCUCCCGAUUCCCACGUGAUGUUUGAUCCGGCCACACCAUAAAGCCAACACCACUCCAGUUCCCGUACACCGAGGUGCACACGAACCACGUGUCACACGACCAUCUAGAAAAGUUCGUGUAACUAAUCACCGUUAUGGCUUAAGCUCUUUCAACCCAUUAGGCUUGCAAGGUUCUACCCAUGUCACCGUUAUACCCCGCAAAAGCAUGCAUACACCAUAAUAAUCAUAUUACUCUUACAACUUAAACGAGUAAUUAUCAUGUAAUGAAGUUCAUUAAGAGGUCACCAUACAUUAGCAUAUAACUACAAAUUCAUGAAACACCGUAUCCGCAUGCAAUUUACAACGUUCACAUAACAUGAAUAUCACCAUAGCAACUGAUGCCAAGGAAUAACCACACAUAAGAUGCAAACAACAUAUUUUCAAUAAUUAUCACAAAAAUCUAGCAUGAAUCCUAAUUUGCAUCAACAAUCCACCUAUGAGAUGUGGUUUUUGGUUAUGUACUAAAGUCAACAAAAAUUGUCGACUCACCUUAUGUUUGAAGCGAGUUCUCCUUUUUAUUUCAAGCCUUGACCCUUCUUGAAGUUGUCAAGUUCUCACCUAAUAAUCACACAUAUCAAACAAUCAUCAAAAUAGGGUCCAAGUUUCGUUAACACCUUUAAUUUCUUAAUGGGUUACAUAUAUAUUUUUUUUAAGUUUCACAGCUUGACCACUGCUCAGUGUUUUGGCCAUAAAACAGAAUCUCUAACUCCGAUUGGGCUGAAUCCGGACUUUUUGAAAACUAGACUCGAUUUCCUACAUUUUAUCCAGAGAGGGGCAUCGGCCAAUUCUUCUCAGAUUAGCAGCUACAGCCCUUGCAAGAUAGGGCAAAGUUGCUGUGCAGAAUUAUAGUAUUUGCCAAAAUACACAAACACGUAAAGGCUUUAGCCAAUGGAUUAAGAAUACAUAAAUUUUCACCAAUUUGGCCUUGAAUGAGUGCAUUAAGAUCUCAUGGUUUGCUCCCUGAAUAGUAAUUCGUAGUUUGCUAGAAACUUUGAAUAUUGGUUAUCUUUUGUUAAACAUCAAACCUCACUGUCCACUUGAUCAAACUCUUGAAUCUACAUAACAACUUUUGUACGAUUUUUGUUUUAAAUGAGAUAAUCCACGGUCCAUAAAAACAAUUAACAAAUCUUGUUAAACUACUUGUUUACUCCACCAAUCACACACCAUCCAUUCAUCAUAUAUAUGUAUAUAUCCAUGCAUGUGAUUAAUCCCAUGAAUUGUAACUAAUACACGUAGAAGGAUUUUACCUUAUAUUCACGGGAAGCAACGUGUCUCUCACUGUCCUUCACAGUGGCCAAUACAUGUAAUAUGUAACCUACCUACGCCUACCCACCUCGCACCAUGCUUGUGUAAAUAUUUCUUCCCAUUCGUUGUACACUGAAAUACCGCAUCAAGAUCUCAUCGGAGUUGGUUUCCCGUUGUUUUUCUCUGUCGGUUUCCAUUGUUGAAACCACUUUAAGCCACCACAACCAUCUCCUUUCUCCUUCCUGUAUUCGCGUUUUUUUUUUUUUUUUUUUCUUUCGUUCCUUCCCAGUUGACGCCAAGCAAGAACAGUAAGCAAGCUUGAUUUUUGGGUUGCAUGUUAUUCCACAUGCUGAGGAAACGGAUUGGAGAAUAAUCGAUCCAAUUCCCUUGAAGGUUAUAAGUAAUUACUAUACUCGAAGGAAACGGAAGAAAAUAAACACAUACGUAACUAUCGGUUAAAUUGAAUUCAAAAUAGAAAUGUUACACUUUAAGUCCUUCGAUUUAUUUCAAAAUAAUUCUUUUAACCUUUUAACAAUUUCUUUAAUAAAUCAAGUUUCAUUCAAUGACAUUUUAACCCCUCUAUGUCAUUCAUACGUUUUAAUGAAUUAUAUAUAUACACCUUAUUUCAAAAAAACACAAUUAAUUAAAUUAUAUACUCGUUAAAUAUGUCGAUUAAUUAAUUUAGGUAUUUAUCGACACCCUUUUUGUUUAGUUUAUUUCAUUCUAUACCCUUAGAAUCGAAAUAUCUUUACAACAAUUAAUUUUCGAGUAACAUAAAGCUAACAUCGAUAAUGGAAGGAUUUUCAGGUCGUUACAAUUCUCCCCUCCUUAAAAUGAUUCCGUCUUCGGAAUUAGAUACCGAUACGAACAACUUAGGGUAACAAACAUUCAUGUAUUCAACCACCUUGGUCACUUCUGACCUAUACUUGUCCUCCCAUUAGAACUUAAUCAGCUUGGAUCAUUUUAUCCCCUGCUAUUUGGUCUCUCUCUAACCAUGUCAUCUGUCAUCCCUUUCAUCUCUUGCGUUAACUUAUCGUCUCACUACUUAUCCAUCAUCAAGUCACGCGACUCUUAACUUGCUGUGAUUGCCAAAAUGAAUGAUUCUCAACCAAGAAGAGUCUUUCAGUAUCAUCGUUUGUCCGUUGAGGAACAUACACAAUCACUUCCCCUCAUUGCACCUUCUCACUCCCUAACCAAAGUAGGACGUAGAUUCUUAUUUGCCUUCAUCUUGAUCGCGUCCAAUCUUAGACAAUUGACACCCAAACGCAUGUAUCGUCUUUUGUUUAACGAGUUGGACUAGCACUCCAUAAAAUGAGGAACUUGAUCGAAUAAUUCACACUCAAACAAGUCAUGAAGCUACGUCAACAUUUACUUCAUUACUGAAUGAACCGAUUUAAGAGUUGCUUUGGCCUUGGAGCCAUACAAAAAGUAUAGUCAAACGAGAUCUCUACCUUACAUGGUGUUUAUACACUCGAAACCUCAUCAGGGAAAAUCAUCGCUACAUUGUUUAGCAAGCUCCGUAUCAAAGAGACUUAUCAUUUUCCUUGAUCUCUCAAUCGUACUUGUCAAGAAGACCUCACAUCACCUCACUAGGAACUUAAGUGCCAUCAUCAUAGGAAUUUUAAGAGAAAGAAUACACCAUAGAGUUUUUCUCGUAAGACAUACCCUCUCUCGACAAGCAAAAUAUGCAUAUGCUGUUUAACUCAGAGAAUUUCAGUCUAGUUGGUGGAAAACCAAACAAUACUGAAAACAACAUCGAACAACUAGAUUCCAAAAGGAAGACAAUCACAAGGAAAACAUAGUCAUCUGCAAAGUUUUCACAUACGUCAAACAUCUAACUACACUCAGGCUACAUUUCGUACAACCGGGUUACUAUCUAACGUCAAAGUUAACAGACUCUAAGGUACGUCAAAACGAGCACAAAAGAGAACAAUGACACAAAAAAGUCUACCAAACAUACAUCCAUUCCAAAUCCGAGUACCGAUCACUAGGUCCUUGAGUUACCUUGUGGUUCCUCCGGUCCCAAAUAUGUAUCAUGUGCUUAUGAUAGUACGGGCCCAAUACUAACGUUCACACAUAUAUAUAUUUGCUUCUGGAAUUACCACAAAGUUAUAUGUGUUAUAGGUUUAGGUUAAAGAUCGAUGCAAGUAUUUUGCUUCAUGGAUUCCAAAACCUGAGGGAGUUUGUAUACUACGAUAAAACUUCUCUUCCUAGUCUGCCAUUGACCAACUAUAAACAAACAAUUUGCAGGGCUUUGUCGAAUACCUGCAGUCCAAUAAUUGCUGCAAGAUGAUCUUCCAUUUCCUCGAUACGCGAAGCACUAUUUGAACUAUAAACAUUCAUGGAUAACUAAUCUUGUUGGUCACAAGCAUUUCCCCUAACGUCGAGAGAUAUUAACGGUUAUAAGAUUCGCGAGAAAAAAGAGAGGAUGCUUCGAUAUCGAAAAAAAAAUGUCCUAAAGGCAUAUAGCAAAUAACAUAUAACUCUCAACACACACCCUUCCCCCCUUAAGAAUCCUAGAGCACCUAACCGAGCCAGUCUACACUGUGAGUCUGAACACUGGCAUCUGUAUUCAGUUCACUCACAGCAUGGCUCUGAUACCAACUUGUAACGUCGUGAUUUUUACUCCAUUUCUUUCUUUUAAAAACAUUUAUUUAACAGAAUACGUUAGCGGAAGACUUAGUUUUUUUAUUUAUUAUUAUUUUCAACCAUUCCAAAAGCCACACGUUACCAUUUUCAUAAACCAACAUUUAACCGUUUAAUUAUGGCAAAAAAAAAGGUUCAAAGGAAAAUAAAAACCAAACGUGCUCAAGUGGCAUCUUCAUUAAAACUAACUACCCAAAAGGAACCCAACCUCACCAAGCCAUGCUCCUAAGAUACCUGUACCAAUCAAAAGGCAUCCAACAAAGAAACAAGCGUUAGCAACUGCCACGUAAGCCGACAAGUUGUACACAACCAAAAAGAGAACACACAAUUCCCGUAAGGGUCAUCCAUGCAAAUCGUGAUAAUAACAUAGUCAAGAAAAACAAAUAACAUGAUAUCAUAAUUUGUUUCAAUCAUAUAGUUUUCAACUUAACUCAACCGAUUAUUACAUAUAAUUUAAUUCACCGUUUAUUAUAUGUAAUUUCUAAUUCAACCGAUUAACUAUUUUGGGGUUCCUUAGGGAGGGUCUACCCAACAACUUAACCCCGUUCACUACUCGUGUGCUCAGCCAGUUUAGUGCUCUAAGUGGCUCAUGACUUCCACCCGAAUACACCAACCCCAAGACUUCCACUUUCGCUACUCCGACUUGCAAAGUACAAGUACUUUACGUGUGGACGAGAGCAUAUAUCGGACAUUUAUUCUAGAAUCAUGAAAAAUUGUUAUAUAGAAUAGUUUCCUAUACUAGAUAGAAUAGUUUCCAUGUAUUGUUCCGUAAUUGGUGGUAGGUUGUUGUUGUAUUCUCUAUAUAUUGUAAUCCUCCUUGAAAGUUAAUAUAUAUGAAAAAUCCCAGAAUUCCAAUUGGAAGUAUAGGUGUGUACAUGGUAUCAGAGCACCUAUAAACCAACCUCUAAAAAAUCUGAAAGCCAAAUGGCUCGAAAAGAAACCUCUUCCCCCGAAACUCGAAUCAUUGUUCAGGAUGUCCCUUUUCCUACAGGGAUUACCCUGGACGACUCGAACUAUCAACUGUGGUCACAGUUGAUGGAAAUGCGUAUCUCUGCUCGAAACAAACUAGGGUUCCUCACCGGAACCACUACGCUUCCUAAAACCGGAGAAAAAGAGAUCGAAAAUUGGCUCAUGGAAAACAAUAAGGUUAAAAGUUGGCUUAUUGAUUCCAUGAGCCCCUCACUGAUUCCUCGAUUCAUCCGAUUAAAGACCGCCAAAGAGAUUUGGGAGGCUGUGGCAAGGACCUUCUACGACGGGUCGGAUGAGACUCAGCUUUUCGAGUUGAAUCGGCGGUCCUUUAACACGAAGCAGAACGGUAGGUCUCUCGCCACCUACUACAACGAACUCUUGGGAAUUUUCCAAGAGAUAGACUCUCGCCUUUCCGUACAUGAAGAAAACGUGGAGAACAUUGUCUCUCUUCACAAAAUAGUUGGACGCCUCCGGGUCCACAUAUUUCUUGCUGGCCUUGAUUUCGAAUUUAACCAAGCUCGAAGGGAAAUAUUGAGGAAAGAUCCACCCCUCGACCUCGAAGCAUGCUACGCAUACGUACGAAAAGAUCAGAACCAACGUAUGACAAUGGAUGACGCGAAGAACGAGCCGGACAGUAUCGUCCAUCUUGCAUCAAGAAAUCAGAACGGAAAAGGAAAAGGAUCGAACAAAGGUAAUACUUUCGUGUGUACUCAUUGUGGUGAAGCAGGUCAUUCAAAACAAAAGUGUUACGAGAUCAUUGGAUAUCCCGAGUGGUGGGAUUUUACCAAGAAACCUAGGCGGAAACCAAGCCAGCCCGCGACGUCGAAUGUGAAAACAGAAGACUCAACUCCGGUAGCUGCACAUACAGAAUCAUCAAGCAUUAACGGUAUGUACAAUAACCCUAAUUCUCAAAAUAACGCAUGGAUUAUCGACACCGGAGCCACCGAUCAUAUGACAAAUGAUCAAACUAAACUUCUGUUUAAAAACCCACCACAACAAAUCGCCGUCAAAACAGCCAAUGGCGGUAUAGCUCCGGUUACAUGCGAGGGUUCGGCAAAACUAUCAGACUCAUUAAGUCUGGAUAAGAUUCUGGUGGUUCCAUCAUUGUCAUCCAACCUUUUGUCUGUCAUUCAAAUAGUUGAUGAAUUAAAUUGCUAUGUGUCGUUUUGGCCUAAAGAAUGUUAUUUUCAGGACAUAGAAACGAACAGGAUGCUUGGCUCUGGUACUAGGAGAGGACGUUUGUACUAUCUUAAAGAGGAAGAAGAACAAGCACAGGCUCACGCAAUUGUUCAAGAUCAUGAAAAGAAAGGGCUGCCAUGGCUUUGGCAUCAUAGGCUGGGACACUUGUCAUUUGGUUACCUUAAGAAACUUAAACCUGAACUUUUUUUGAAUAAGGAUAUUGAAUUUAAUUGUGAUAUUUGUGAAUUGGCCAAGAACCACCGUAUCUCGUAUGCUCCUAGUACUAACAAGUCUUCAAUUCCUUUUAUGGUUAUACACUCGGAUGUUUGGGGGCCAGCAAAGAUAUCCACACCUAACGGGGCACGAUAUUUCGUAACAUUUAUAGAUGAGUGCACUCGGAUGGUGUGGAUCUCACUUCUUAAUCAUAAAAGUGAAGUAUGUAAGGUCUUCCAAGAAUUUUACAAACUAGUAAAAACGCAAUAUAAAUGUGAUAUAAAAGUUUUACAGUCGGAUAACGGAGGGGAAUACAUAAAUAACGAAAUGCAAAUGUUUUGUAAAAAUAAUUCCAUAAGACAUCAAACCUCGUGUGCAAAUACCCCGGAACAAAAUGGCGUGGCGGAAAGGCGAAAUCGACAAAUCCUGGAAAUAGUUCGGGCAUCAUUGUUUGACAUGAAGGUGCCCCGACAGUUUUGGGGUGAAGCUGUUCGUACAGCAGCAUAUGUCAUGAAUCGAACUCCCUCACGAGUGAUUGAUUUUCAAACUCCGCUUCAAUAUCUACAGAAAUUGGUAGAGGUACCUAUGGGGCCAAACUUGGAACCAAAAAUAUUUGGGUGUACAGCAUAUGUCUUUCAGAAUAUCGGUAAACUUGAACCUCGUGCAAUCCGAUGUAUGUUCAUUGGAUACGCUGAAUUCAAAAAAGGAUAUAGGUGUUAUGAUCCUACAACAAGAAAAAUACAUGUUACACGAGAUGUUAAGUUUCAUGAAACAACUCCCUUCAAUCACGAUGUUUCCCCUCAGGGGGAAAUGUUGAGUAAUUUUGAGGGUAACAUGUGUGAGAUGACGGGAGAGCUUCUAGACGAUGAAUCUGACGAGGCCCAUCCAGAAAGCGGGUCUGACGAGGCCCAUCCAAAAUGCGGGUCUGAUGAAGCUCAUCACCCACAAACACCGGCGGCCCAUCCAGAAAAUCAAGAAACUCAACCAGUGAUUCAGGAUAUAGUACAAACGAACCCACUCCGACAGUCCACGAACCGGGUCCGACACAAGGUACGUCUUCUGGUCCUGAAACUUUUAUGCCUAAUGACGACAACAUAGUGCAGGAUAGCAAUGAAACGCAUGUACACGACCAGGAAACACGAUAUCCGGUAAGAAGUAAUCGGGGGGUCCCAAAGAAAUAGUACGUACCAGAACUUACCUCGAAGUCCAAAUACCCGAUAAACCACUAUGUAUCAACUCCUAAGUUGGGAAAAACACAAAGAACACUCGUUGAGGAAUUGGCAUCCGUGACCAUUCCAAAGACAAUUGAGGAAGCUCUUAAAGAACCGAGGUGGCGGAAGGCAAUUGAUGAGGAAAUGCUUGCACUACAGUUGAAUGGCACGUGGGACAUUGUAACACGACCUGAAAAAAAAAAUAGUCGGGUGUCGUUGGAUUUUCACCGUGAAACUAGAUGCAAACGGUAAGAUCGAUAGAUAUAAAGCGCGUCUCGUAGCAAAAGGGUAUACCCAGAAGUAUGGGAUUGAUUAUGGGGACACCUUUGCCCCUGUCGCGAAGAUCAAUACGAUUCGGGUUUUGGUGUCAAUAGCAGCUGCACAAGAUUGGCCACUUAAGCAAUUUGACGUGAAAAAUGCGUUCUUGAAUGGGCACUUGGAAGAAGAGGUAUACAUGGACCCUCCACCGGGGAUAAGUUGUGGGAAUAAAGUGUGCAAGUUGAAAAAGGCGUUGUAUGGCCUAAAACAAUCACCGAGGGCUUGGUUUGGAAGGUUCUCAAACUUCAUGAAGAAGGCAGGAUAUAAACAAAGUGACGCCGAUCACACUCUGUUUGUGAAAAACCAUGGAAAAAAGGUGACAGCCCUCAUUGUAUACGUAGACGACAUGGUGGUUACCAGUAAUGAUGAAGAUGAAAUUAAGAGGUUACAAAAACUAUUAGCCACAGAAUUUGAACUUAAGGAUUUGGGAGAUCUUAAGUAUUUCCUCGGUAUCGAGGUGGCUCGAUCUAAAACCGGCAUCACCAUGUGUCAACGGAAAUAUGUACUCGAUUUAUUAGCCGAAACCGGGAUGCUAGAAUGUCAACCCAUUGAUACUCCCAUUGAAGUUAACCACGGUUUGACCUUGUUGUCCGACCAAGUACCUGCUAAUAAGGAGAGAUACCAAAAACUUGUAGGAAAAUUGAUCUACCUUUCACACACCCGACCCGACAUAGCUUACGCGGUAAGCGUGGUAAGCCGAUUCAUGCACUCGCCGAGUGAGAGUCACAUGAAGGCUGUGUUUCGCAUUCUUAGAUAUCUCAAAUCAGCCCCUGGUAAUUGACUAUUUUUUGGAAAAAACAAAGAAUUGAAAGUAGAAGGGUAUUCAGACGCUGAUUGGGCAGGUGACAAGAAUGAUGGGAAGUCAACGGCUGGGUACUUCACUUUUGUGUAUGGGAAUCUUGUCACCUGGAGAAGCAAAAAGCAGAAAGUGGUAGCUCGAUCAAGUGCAGAGGCUGAGUUUAGGGGUAUGGUGCAUGGGGUAUGUGAGAUGAUAUGGAUCAAACGAGUCCUUAGGGACCUUGGCAUAGAACAAAAGACUCCUAUGAAACUAUAUUGUGAUAAUCAAGCAGCAGUUAAGAUUGCAAACAAUCCAGUGCAGCACGAUCGUACUAAACAUGUAGAGGUGGACCGUCAUUUUAUCAAAGAUCACUUGGAAAGGAAGACAAUCGAACUACCGUAUGUCUCUUCAAAGGACCAGUUAGCUGACAUGUUAACGAAGGCAGUUUGCAGUAAAGUAUUUAACCGCUCUCUAGACAAGCUGGGAAUGCUCGACAUACAUUCUCCAGCUUGAGGGGGAGUGUGGACGAGAGCAUAUAUCGGACAUUUAUUCUAGAAUCAUGAAAAAUUGUUAUAUAGAAUAGUUUCCUAUACUAGAUAGAAUAGUUUCCAUGUAUUGUCCCGUAAUUGGUGGUAGGUUGUUGUUCUAUUCUCUAUAUAUUGUAAUCCUCCUUGAAAGUUAAUAUAUAUGAAAAAUCCCAGAAUUCCAAUUGGAAGUAUAGGUGUGUACAUUACGGUGUCGUUUAGGAUCGGUACAAACGGUGCCAAUUCCAACGAUACACCUCCCGAUUCCCACGUGAUGUUUGAUCCGGCCACACCAUAAAGCCAACACCACUCCAGUUCCCAUACACCGAGGUGCACACGAACCACGUGUCACACGACCAUCUAGAAAAGUUUGUGUAACUAAUCACCGUUAUGGCUUAAGCUCUUUCAACCCAUUAGGCUUGCAAGGUUCUACCCAUGUCACCGUUAUACCCCGCAAAAGCAUGCAUACACCAUAAUAAUCAUAUUACUCUUACAACUUAAACGAGUAAUUAUCAUGUAAUGAAGUUCAUUAAGAGUUCACCAUACAUUAGCAUAUAACUACAAAUUCAUGAAACACCGUAUCCACAUGCAAUUUACAACGUUCACAUAACAUGAAUAUCACCAUAGCAACUGAUGCCAAGGAAUAACCACACAUAAGAUGCAAACAACAUAUUUUCAAUAAUUAUCACAAAAAUCUAGCAUGAAUCCUAAUUUGCAUCAACAAUCCACCUAUGAGAUGUGGUUUUUGGUUAUGUACUAAAGUCAACAAAAAUUGUCGACUCACCUUAUGUUUGAAGCGAGUUCUCCUUUUUAUUUCAAGCCUUGACCCUUCUUGAAGUUGUCAAGUUCUCACCUAAUAAUCACACAUAUCAAACAAUCAUCAAAAUAGGGUCCAAGUUUCGUUAACACCUUUAAUUUCUUAAUGGGUUACAUAUAUAUUUUUUUUUUAAGUUUCACAGCUUGACCACUGCUCAGUGUUUUGGCCAUAAAACAGAAUCUCUAACUCCGAUUGGGCUGAAUCCGGACUUUUUGAAAACUAGACUCGAUUUCCUACAUUUUAUCCAGAGAGGGGCAUCGGCCAAUUCUUCUCAGAUUAGCAGCUACAGCCCUUGCAAGAUAGGGCAAAGUUGCUGUGCAGAAUUAUAGUAUUUGCCAAAAUACACAAACACGUAAAGGCUUUAGCCAAUGGAUUAAGAAUACAUAAAUUUUCACCAAUUUGGCCUUGAAUGAGUGCAUUAAGAUCUCAUGGUUUGCUCCCUGAAUAGUAAUUCGUAGUUUGCUAGAAACUUUGAAUAUUGGUUAUCUUUUGUUAAACAUCAAACCUCACUGUCCACUUGAUCAAACUCUUGAAUCUACAUAACAACUUUUGUACGAUUUGUGUUUUAAAUGAGAUAAUCCACCGUCCAUAAAAACAAUUAACAAAUCUUGUUAAACUACUUGUUUACUCCACCAAUCACACACCAUCCAUUCAUCAUAUAUAUGUAUAUAUCCAUGCAUGUGAUUAAUCCCAUGAAUUGUAACUAAUACACGUAGAAGGAUUUUACCUUAUAUUCACGGGAAGCAACGUGUCUCUCACUGUCCUUCACAGUGGCCAAUACAUGUAAUAUGUAACCUACCUACGCCUACCCACCUCGCACCAUGCUUGUGUAAAUAUUUCUUCCCAUUCGUUGUACACUGAAAUACCGCAUCAAGAUCUCAUCGGAGUUGGUUUCCCGUUGUUUUUCUCUGUCGGUUUCCAUUGUUGAAACCACUUUAAGCCACCACAACCAUCUCCUUUCUCCUUCCUGUAUUCGCGUUUCUUUUUUUUUUUUUUUCUUUCGUUCCUUCCCAGUUGACGCCAAGCAAGAACAGUAAGCAAGCUUGAUUUUUGGGUUGCAUGUUAUUCCACAUGCUGAGGAAACGGAUUGGAGAAUAAUCGAUCCAAUUCCCUUGAAGGUUAUAAGUAAUUACUAUACUCGAAGGAAACGGAAGAAAAUAAACACAUACGUAACUAUCGGUUAAAUUGAAUUCAAAAUAGAAAUGUUACACUUUAAGUCCUUCGAUUUAUUUCAAAAUAAUUCUUUUAACCUUUUAACAAUUUCUUUAAUAAAUCAAGUUUCAUUCAAUGACAUUUUAACCCCUCUAUGUCAUUCAUACGUUUUAAUGAAUUAUAUAUAUACACCUUAUUUCAAAAAAACACAAUUAAUUAAAUUAUAUACUCGUUAAAUAUGUCGAUUAAUUAAUUUAGGUAUUUAUCGACACCCUUUUUGUUUAGUUUAUUUCAUUCUAUACCCUUAGAAUCGAAAUAUCUUUACAACAAUUAAUUUUCGAGUAACAUAAAGCUAACAUCGAUAAUGGAAGGAUUUUCAGGUCGUUACAAUUCUCCCCUCCUUAAAAUGAUUCCGUCUUCGGAAUCAGAUACCGAUACGAACAACUUAGGGUAACAAACAUUCAUGUAUUCAACCACCUUGGUCACUUCUGACCUAUACUUGUCCUCCCAUUAGAACUUAAUCAGCUUGGAUCAUUUUAUCCCCUGCUAUUUGGUCUCUCUCUAACCAUGUCAUCUGUCAUCCCUUUCAUCUCUUGCGUUAACUUAUCGUCUCACUACUUAUCCAUCAUCAAGUCACGCGACUCUUAACUUGCUGUGAUUGCCAAAAUGAAUGAUUCUCAACCAAGAAGAGUCUUUCAGUAUCAUCGUUUGUCCGUUGAGGAACAUACACAAUCACUUCCCCUCAUUGCACCUUCUCACUCCCUAACCAAAGUAGGACGUAGAUUCUUAUUUGCCUUCAUCUUGAUCGCGUCCAAUCUUAGACAAUUGACACCCAAACGCAUGUAUCGUCUUUUGUUUAACGAGUUGGACUAGCACUCCAUAAAAUGAGGAACUUGAUCGAAUAAUUCACACUCAAACAAGUCAUGAAGCUACGUCACCAUUUACUUCAUUACUGAAUGAACCAAUUUAAGAGUUGCUUUGGCCUUGGAGCCAUACAAAAAGUAUAGUCAAACGAGAUCUCUACCUUACAUGGUGUUUAUACACUCGAAACCUCAUCAGGGAAAAUCAUCGCUACAUUGUUUAGCAAGCUCCGUAUCAAAGAGACUUAUCAUUUUCCUUGAUCUCUCAAUCGUACUUGUCAAGAAGACCUCACAUCACCUCACUAGGAACUUAAGUGCCAUCAUCUUAGGAAUUUUAAGAGAAAGAAUACACCAUAGAGUUUUUCUCGUAAGACAUACCCUCUCUCGACAAGCAAAAUAUGCAUAUGCUCUUUAACUCAGAGAAUUUCAGUCUAGUUGGUGGAAAACCAAACCAUACUGAAAACAACAUCGAACAACUAGAUUCCAAAAGGAAGACAAUCACAAGGAAAACAUAGUCAUCUGCAAAGAUUUCACAUACGUCAAACAUCUUACUACACUCAGGCUACAUUUCGUACAACCGGGUUACUAUCUAACGUCAAAGUUAACAGACUCUAAGGUACGUCAAAACGAGCACAAAAGAGAACAAUGACACAAAAAAGUCUACCAAACAUACAUCCAUUCCAAAUCCGAGUACCGAUCACUAGGUCCUUGAGUUACCUUGUGGUUCCUCCGGUCCCAAAUAUGUAUCAUGUGCUUAUGAUAGUACGGGCCCAAUACUAACGUUCACACAUAUAUAUAUUUGCUUCUGGAAUUACCACAAAGUUAUAUGUGUUAUAGGUUUAGGUUAAAGAUCGAUGCAAGUAUUUUGCUUCAUGGAUUCCAAAACCUGAGGGAGUUUGUAUACUACGAUAAAACUUCUCUUCCUAGUCUGCCAUUGACCAACUAUAAACAAACAAUUUGCAGGGCUUUGUCGAAUACCUGCAGUCCAAUAAUUGCUGCAAGAUGAUCUUCCAUUUCCUCGAUACGCGAAGCACUAUUUGAACUAUAAACAUUCAUGGAUAACUAAUCUUGUUGGUCACAAGCAUUUCCCCUAACGUCGAGAGAUAUUAACGGUUAUAAGAUUCGCGAGAAAAAAGAGAGGAUGCUUCGAUAUCGGAAAAAAAAUGUCCUAAAGGCAUAUAGCAAAUAACAUAUAACUCUCAACACACACCCUUCCCCCCUUAAGAAUCCUAGAGCACCUAACCGAGCCAGUCUACACUGUGAGUCUGAACACUGGCAUCUGUAUUCAGUUCACUCACAGCAUGGCUCUGAUACCAACUUGUAACGUCGUGAUUUUUACUCCAUUUCUUUCUUUUAAAAACAUUUAUUUAACAGAAUACGUUAGCGGAAGACUUAGUUUUUUUAUUUAUUAUUAUUUUCAACCAUUCCAAAAGCCACACGUUACCAUUUUCAUAAACCAACAUUUAACCGUUUAAUUAUGGCAAAAAAAAAGGUUCAAAGGAAAAUAAAAACCAAACGUGCUCAAGUGGCAUCUUCAUUAAAACUAACUACCCAAAAGGAACCCAACCUCACCAAGCCAUGCUCCUAAGAUACCUGUACCAAUCAAAAGGCAUCCAACAAAGAAACAAGCGUUAGCAACUGCCACGUGAGCCGACAAGUUGUACACAACCAAAAAGAGAACACACAAUUCCCGUAAGGGUCAUCCAUGCAAAUCGUGAUAAUAACAUAGUCAAGAAAAACAAAUAACAUGAUAUCAUAAUUUAUUUCAAUCAUAUAGUUUUCAACUUAACUCAACCGAUUAUUACAUAUAAUUUAAUUCACCGUUUAUUAUAUGUAAUUUCUAAUUCAACCGAUUAACUACUUUGGGGUUCCUUAGGGAGGGUCUACCCAACAACUUAACCCCGUUCACUACUCGUGUGCUCAGCCAGUUUAGUGCUCUAAGUGGCUCAUGACUUCCACACGAAUACACCAACCCCAAGACUUCUACGUUCGCUACUCCGACUUGCAAAGUACAAGUACUUUACGGUGUCGUUUAGGAUCGGUACAAACGGUGUUAAUUCCAACGAUAAACCUCCCGAUUCCCACGUGAUGUUUGAUCCGGCCACACCAUAAAGCCAACACCAUUCCAGUUCCCGUACAUCGAGGUGCACACGAACCACGUGUCACACGACCAUCUAGAAAAGUUCGUGUAACUAAUCACCGUUAUGUCUUAAGCUCUUUCAACCCAUUAGGCUUGCAAGGUUCUACCCAUGUCACCGUUUCACCCCGCAAGCAUGCUUNCAUAAUAAUCAUAUUACUCUUACAACUUAAACGAGUAAUUAUCAUGUAAUGAAGUUCAUUAAGAGGUCACCAUACAUUAGCAUAUAACUACAAAUUCAUGAAACACCGUAUCCGCAUGCAAUUUACAACGUUCACAUAACAUGAAUAUCACCAUAGCAACUGAUGCCAAGGAAUAACCACACAUAAGAUGCAAACAACAUAUUUUCAAUAAUUAUCACAAAAAUCUAGCAUGAAUCCUAAUUUGCAUCAACAAUCCACCUAUGAGAUGUGGUUUUUGGUUAUGUACUAAAGUCAACAAAACUUGUCGACUCACCUUAUGUUUGAAGCGAGUUCUCCUUUUUAUUUCAAGCCUUGACCCUUCAUGAAGUUGUCAAGUUCCCACCUAAUAAUCACACAUAUCAAACAAUCAUCAAAAUAGGGUCCAAGUUUCGUUAACACCUUUAAUUUCUUAAUGGGUUACAUAUAUAUAUAUUUUUAAGUUUCACAGCUUGACCACUGCUCAGUGUUUUGGCCAUAAAACAGAACUCUAACUCCGAUUGGGCUGAAUCCAGACUUUUUGAAAACUAGACUCGAUUUCCU